GACGAACGCUGGCGGCGUGCUUAACACAUGCAAGUCGAACGGAAAGGCCCUGCUUUUGUGGGGUGCUCGAGUGGCGAACGGGUGAGUAACACGUGAGUAACCUGCCCUUGACUUUGGGAUAACUUCAGGAAACUGGGGCUAAUACCGGAUAGGAGCUCCUGCUGCAUGGUGGGGGUUGGAAAGUUUCGGCGGUUGGGGAUGGACUCGCGGCUUAUCAGCUUGUUGGUGGGGUAGUGGCUUACCAAGGCUUUGACGGGUAGCCGGCCUGAGAGGGUGACCGGCCACAUUGGGACUGAGAUACGGCCCAGACUCCUACGGGAGGCAGCAGUGGGGAAUAUUGCACAAUGGGCGGAAGCCUGAUGCAGCAACGCCGCGUGCGGGAUGACGGCCUUCGGGUUGUAAACAGCUUUCGCCUGUGACGAAGCGUGAGUGACGGGAAUGGGUAAAGAAGCACCGGCUAACUACGU
rnacentral:rRNA from 1 species